rnacentral:tRNA from 1 species
UAUGAAAUAAAGUGUUAAGCAUAUUAGCCUUUGAAGCUAAAGGAUAUUUUCAAAG